rnacentral:rRNA from 1 species
GCGCAGCUUACCAUGCAGUCGAGCGGUAACAGGGGGUGCUUGCACCCCGCUGACGAGCGGCGGACGGGUGAGUAAUGCAUAGGAAUCUGCCCAGUAGUGGGGGAUAGCCCGGGGAAACCCGGAUUAAUACCGCAUACGUCCUUCGGGGGAAAGCAGGGGAUCUUCGGACCUUGCGCUAUUGGAUGAGCCUAUGUCGGAUUAGCUAGUUGGUGGGGUAAAGGCCUACCAAGGCGACGAUCCGUAGCUGGUCUGAGAGGAUGAUCAGCCACAUCGGGACUGAGACACGGCCCGAACUCCUACGGGAGGCAGCAGUGGGGAAUAUUGGACAAUGGGGGCAACCCUGAUCCAGCCAUGCCGCGUGUGUGAAGAAGGCUUUCGGGUUGUAAAGCACUUUCAGUGAGGAGGAAAACCUUCUGGUUAAUACCCAUGAGGCUUGACGUUACUCACAGAAGAAGCACCGGCUAACUCCGUGCCAGCAGCCGCGGUAAUACGGAGGGUGCAAGCGUUAAUCGGAAUUACUGGGCGUAAAGCGCGCGUAGGUGGUUUGAUAAGCGAGAUGUGAAAGCCCCGGGCUUAACCUGGGAACGGCAUUUCGA